AUGCACGCUAGCGGGAGGCCUAACACAUGCAAGCCGAGCGGUAGAGUUUCUUCGGAAACUUGAGAGCGGCGCACGGGUGCGUAACACGUGUGCAACCUACCUUUAUCUGGGGGAUAGCCUUUCGAAAGGAAGAUUAAUACCCCAUAAUAUAAUGAUUGGCAUCAAUUAUUAUUGAAAACUCCGGUGGAUAGAGAUGGGCACGCGCAAGAUUAGAUAGUUGGUGAGGUAACGGCUCACCAAGUCAAUGAUCUUUAGGGGUCCUGAGAGGGAGAUCCCCCACACUGGUACUGAGACACGGACCAGACUCCUACGGGAGGCAGCAGUGAGGAAUAUUGGACAAUGGGUGAGAGCCUGAUCCAGCCAUCCCGCGUGAAGGAUGACGGUCCUAUGGAUUGUAAACUUCUUUUGUACAGGGAUAAACCUACCCUCGUGAGGGUAGCUGAAGGUACUGUACGAAUAAGCACCGGCUAACUCCGU
rnacentral:rRNA from 1 species